AACAUCCAAAUGUGUGCGACCUGCGCCGGUGAGUGGCGGAGUUUCAUUUCUAACACUUUCUCCUUGUGAUGUGGAGCAUGCGUUAGCCGGUGUUGUUUGGCGAUACAGAGCGUUAUGGCAGGCUGGAGAUACAAUCCGGAAUUAUUAGAAAGCCAGCAAAGUGCACGCACACAGACACAAACAAACCCCCUUGACCCUGGACGUGCGCAGGCACAUUGCUAACCCCUACACCACCAUGGUCGUCACACCACUCUGUGGGAGAUUCUUUUCCAACAUCCAGUGAGCUCUUCCUCUGUUGUUCCUCAUCUCUUCACCUGCUGGCCAUCCAGUGACGGGCCUUAUAGUUUCUUUCUUAAGUAAAAUGAGUAACGCUCCUCUGCUGGACUAUGAGUUUCAGUCUUUGACUCCAGCUUCAGGUUAUGGGGUUACAUCAGGCUUGUCUCUGGCUACAGAUACGGAGCAAAGCACGGCCCUCUGCUUCGUAGGCCUUCUACUACUCUUCCUAGUCUUCCUGUUGGUGCGGUGUUUCCGGAUCCUUCUGGACCCAUACGGUACUGUGCCAGCUUCCUCCUGGAACGAUCACAAAGAUGGACUGCGAACAGUUUGAUUUCACGCUGGUGUAAUAAAUUAAAGGCUAUGAAAUCGAAACCAACCCUUUAUGCUUACAGUAAAUAUAAAUGAAGACCAAAUGCUGAGUGACCUGGAUAUUGAUUCCGGCUGGACACAUGCUUGAGUGAGGUAUGAUUGAAUGGAAGCUCAGAAUUCUUCGAGCAGGCUUUGUUGGGAUUGGUCAGCAAUCAGCAUUUGAAAGUUUUGUAUAUGCAAACAAUAUUCAAAUAAUCACUACUCAAAUUAUAUACAAAUUUAAAGAUGAAUAUUAACACAAACUGCACGACAAUUCGGGUGCAAGGUGGCCAAUUAGAAACAAAGUAAAAGGUGUGGGCGGGUUAACUUUUCACUUCUGUCUACAUUUUUACCACUCAUGAAAUAUUUGUUAUAUAACCAUAAUAGAUUUUUUACCAGUUUUGCAUGGGUGAAUACUGUAUAACUACUGCUGUUUUACAAUGUGGAUUUACAUAACCCAUAGAGUUUUGUUUCUUUUUUUUUACUUAUAAUUGGUGUACUCUAUAUUUGCUGAAUCACAACUUUGAAUCAUUGAUAAGCUGGAAAAUUGUGCCUUCCUAUCUGUAAAAGCUUUAUUUUUAUAUAAAUGUAUACUGCAGGGCUUUCCGUCACUUUCCUAAUGUUGUCCAGAAUGGUCUCAUUUCAGCACCUACGCAUUUGGACCAUUAAAAUACAGUGUGCCAGUUCCUCACACUUGUACUAUUUAUAUUUAUAUUGUUUUUUUGUAUGUUCAGGAUACAUAGUUUAUCCAAGCCAUUUUAGUUAUUAACUAUUAUAAAUACUAUAUUUACAUGCAUAUAGUAAUAUGGUCUAUAUAGAAUAUAGACCAUAUGGACAGAAGUAUUCGGCCAAACCUGCAUACAUUGUAUCCGAAUACAUAUACUUCAAUAUGGAGUUGGACCCCAUUUUGCAGCUUCCAUUCUUCUUGGAAGGCUGUCCACAAGAUUUUGGAGUGUUUCUGCGGGAACAGAGUGCGACAGCUAGUUUAUUCUAGAAAAGUA